UACAAAUUUAAUUCCUGAAAACCCCAUAUCUCGGUCUUAUCCGCCAAACCCAUUAAAACCAACCUCAAAUUUUAUCUUCUCUCGUUUCCACUGAAUCUGCCCUAGAGGCAUCACCCCGAACUGGUUCUUUGGUACAAAAUGUCAGGUUGUUGCUUCUCUUUUGCUGCUACAGCAUCUACUUCUUCUACUUCUUUACUGUAUCUCUUCACUCAAAAGCCUAAAUUCUCAGUAGACCAUCUUUCCUUAAGUACUUAUAAUACUCACUUCAACUUCAAGAUAAACUCAACAAAACUCAAAGCCCAUUUCCCCAUUUCUUCUCUUUAUCGCUCUUCAAUCUUUUUGAGCACUUGUGCUUCUGUGUCUGAUGGAGUUGAGGUUGUCCAAGAAGAUGACGAAGAAGAAGUUGCAUUGUCAGCCGAAGAAGAAGAGGAAAUUGAAGAAAAAGAAGAACGCGUUGAAUCAGAAUCAGUUGAAGGUGGUAGAUUGUACGUGGGUAAUUUGCCCUUUUCAAUGACCUCUUCUCAAUUGUCUGAAAUCUUUGCUGAAGCUGGCACAGUGGCUAAUGUUGAGAUUGUUUAUGACAGAGUUACAGAUAGGAGUCGUGGAUUUGCAUUUGUUACAAUGGGAAGUGUUGAAGAGGCAAAGGAAGCAAUUCGCUUGUUUGAUGGAUCUCAAGUUGGAGGUCGUACGGUCAAGGUGAAUUUCCCUGAGGUUCCAAGAGGAGGUGAAAGGGAAGUAAUGAGUGCAAAGAUAAGAAGCACCUAUCAAGGUUUUGUUGAUAGCCCUCACAAAUUAUACGUUGCGAAUCUUAGCUGGGCCCUCACUUCUCAAGGUCUAAGAGACGCUUUUGCUGACCAGCCCGGAUUCAUGAGUGCAAAAGUCAUCUAUGACAGGUCCUCAGGAAGAUCUCGAGGUUUUGGGUUCAUUACAUUUUCUUCUGCUGAAGCAAUGAACUCUGCACUUGAUACCAUGAAUGAAGUGGAACUUGAAGGACGGCCAUUGCGACUAAAUGUGGCUGGGCAGAAAGCUCCCGUAUCUUCUCCACCAGUUGUCGAAACAAGUCCUGAAAAUGAUUCUGACAACAGUGAAUUACUUUCUAGUCUCAGCUCAUAAGAUCACCAAGAUUCAUAACAGAAUCAGCCAUUUGAAGAACUGUAGAGUAUUAUAUGCGAUGAAGACAUGCUUUUUCCAGCUUAUGUAACCUUCUUUCAGCCUCUGCUUCUGAAGUGAUACUGGUGUUGGUCCCAACAACAAUUAGUGGAGGCUCGCUCGGAUUAACUUUUCACGGAGACUUGAGGUAGAGCUGCACGACGAUCGCAGUCUCUAAAGUCCCUUGCCUUAGUUUUACUGUUUAUUUUGUUUCAAAUAGUUAUAUUCCAUUCAAACAUUGGUUGUAGCACUUUUACUAUGCUCGUGAACUUGUGACACCCGAUUCUGGGAUUUGAUUAGUCAGUGUUUGAAGUUAUUAUAUCUA